rnacentral:rRNA from 1 species
UACGGAGGGUGCAAGCGUUGUCCGGAAUCACUGGGCGUAAAGGGCGCGUAGGCGGCUCGGUAAGUAGGGGGUGAAAUCCUGCGGCUUAACCGCAGGGCUGCCUUCUAAACUGUCGAGCUCGAGCACGGUAGAGGCAGAUGGAAUUCCCGGUGUAGCGGUGGAAUGCGCAGAUAUCAGGAGGAACACCGGUGGCGAAGGCGGUUCUCUGGGCAUUACCUGACGCUGAGGAGCGAAAGUGUGGGGAGCGAACAGG